CAUUCGCAUACGGCACCCUCACCGCAUGGACCACAUCUGUAGAGCGCCACGUACACACCGUUGUUGCCGCGUCUUGAGAAGAAAAAGCAAAGAAGGGAAAGAGCAAGCGUGAUAGAACAAGCGCGCCUUCUCCCAGUUGCCUGCCCAAUCGCUUUCCUGCCACCGUCGUCGUCGUCGGCGGUGGCAUGCGGCACAAUAGAAAACGCGAGAGAGUGGCUGCCGAUGAGGCCGAGAACGUCGGGCCAGGCAACACUGCUGCGAAGCGAAUGCCUGUGGCCGCCGCAGCCUCGUCUUACUCUUCCCCUGCCUCGCAUAUCCCGAUGCAUUCGCGGGUGGUUAACGUGGCAUCGGAUAAGAGCAGUGGCAAGAAGGCUUCGUCACCUUAUUCUCCGGUGACGGCACCAAGAGCUUCUUAUGAUGCCACUGCUGCCCAAGCGGUGCAGCGGCCCCACUACGCAAACAACACGACGACCCAUGCCGCCGCGGCCUUGUCGCUGGACGGCAUCGCUAACGCUUCCGUGCGCAGUAGCGAUUCAGCAGAGUCGGCAUCCUCGACCGCGGCCCGCGCACCGCUGAGGCGCGGCCGGCCUCAGCAGCCGCUUCGGCCGCCUCUGUCACGUUCCCUCAUGCCGAACACGCCUCGGAGCGCGGCGCCACUGCCAGGGAGAGGGCGUGGCGCUGCUGGCCUUCGCUCUCGCGUAGAUCAUGCCGCCACAGGCGCGAGCUCUCCCGCUACGGCGGGUGCCAAAGGCGGCAACGCUGCCUCGCCGACAGACGCAUCUCCCAGUGACUCCGAGAGACAGCUUUGGGACACGUGGCGGGAAAAGCGCGAACAGCUCGAGCGAGAGGUGCAGAUACUGACGCAGUACUCGCAUAAGCUCGCGGAGGAGACGCAGGCGGUCCAGGACGCUAUUGAAGGCAUGCUCACCGAGUUCGAAGGCGAGAGGCAGCGUGUAGAGGCACGCCACGGUGCCACAGUGGCGCGCUACCAAGGCUUCAUGGAUGCCCUGCGCGCACGCGAGGAGGCUUGUCUGGCAGCGAAGCAGCGAGCGCUGGAUCGCAUCCGCACUUCUCGAGAGACUGUGAGUCAACUUCAACGCGAGCAGGAGGCAACGCAGGAUGCCAUCAUUUUGGCGACAGACGGGCGCGAUCGGCUGGAGCAGGAGCUGGCCAGCGCGAAGAGCACGGCGGCGGAACGCGCGAUAACCCUUGAGCACCUGCAGCAAGAGGAGGAUCGCAUGAAGGAUGCCACCUAUGGCCUUAGCGGGGAGGUGAAGGAGUUGGUGCUGGAGAUGGAGCGACUCCGCAAGGAGAAGCACCGCAUCGAUGUGCAGUCGAUGGAGAGCGAGGUGGCCCGGCGAGAGCUGUACUCGCUUUGCGAGGAGCUGAAAGGCUCUAUUCGUGUCUACUGCCGUGUGAAGGGCUCUGCCCUGCCAGUGGCGUCGCAACUGCCAAGCGACGAAACCGCAUGCGACGUGGCGCCGGCGCUGCAGGCCGUUCGCUCGUCAAAGCCAGACGAUAUUUGCACCUGCGUGGGAGAGGGCGCUGCGGCUACUGUGGUCGCGCCUGUCGCCAUGCCCCCCGUCAGCCGGCUGCCCAGCCGCAGUGGAUCGAUGGGGUCGACUCUUUCAGCCGGCAUGCUGGCGGUCGCGAGUACUCCCACGAGCACCGCAGGGGCUGCCGUGGCAAAAACAGACGCCCGGCGCAAUGUCGGUGGGGGUGGGUUGCGUAGCGGCUGCUCCACGACAAGGUCAAGCAUGGCCACGACGAGUGUGAUGGGGGACGGUGAGGCCGACGCCACUGCCGACGAAGGAGCAGCACCCGUCUUUUCCUUCCCGGAUCGCGGGGACGCAGAUGACAUCAGCGACACUAACCGGAGGGCGGAGCAGGGCGGGCUCUUGCGAGUGCGUGGGGCAGCGCCGACGGCAACGGCAGGCAGUGCCGCGGCAGCCUCCGCCCAUGCCGUGAUGCCGCUCCUCUACCCUUCGACAGCGCAGGGCUCGAGAGAGGAGGAGGCGCAUCUUCCCGUGGGUGCUGCUGCUGAUGCGUUACAUCUGCCGUACAGUUGCGGGCGUUCCAUCACAAUCCACCAGACGCGCUCCAACGCCACUUCGACAGGCCUCAGCAGCUUCGCGGAGACCUUCACCUACGACAAGGUUUUCACUGGCGACGCGCGGCAGGAGGAGGUGUACCGCGAUGUCGAGCCACUCGUGCGCAACGCCGUUGACGGCUACCGUGUGUGCAUCUUCGCGUAUGGGCAAACAGGCAGCGGCAAGACCUUCACCAUGGAGGGCGACGUGCGAGGCAGGCCGGAGAUGUACGGCGUCACUCCACGCGCUCUUCAGACGAUACUGCAGCGGCAAGCCGAGCUCGCCAACGAGGGCUGGAGCCAUGAGCUGUCUUGCACGUUUAUCGAAAUCUACAACGAUGUCAUCCGCGACCUGUUUCAAAGUGGGUCGGCGCGAUACGAGGUGAUGCUGCAGCAGCAGCACACAGCUCCGACAGCGUCCUCCUCCGCUGCUGUGUACCACACGAUCAAGCACAGUGGAGACCGCACGCACAUCACCAAUGUGAUAGAGCGAAAUAUACGUAGCAUGGAGGAGUUCCUGCAGCUCUACAAGCAGGCGGUGCUGCAGCGAAGUACCGCCAAGACAGAUCUCAACGAUGUCUCCUCGCGCUCGCACUGCAUCUUCACGCUGUACAUUUCCGGCACAAACGCCACGAUUCGCCAACGCAGCGACGGGGUGCUCUGCCUAGUCGACCUCGCAGGCAGCGAGCGCGUCAACGAUAGCGGUGUGCAGGGCAAGCAAUUCAAGGAGGCGGUGAACAUCAACCGCUCGCUGUUGGACCUCGGCAAGUGUAUCCGCGCUCUGCGCUGCGGGGCGGUGGUGCCGUGGCGUAACUGCAAGCUCACGUAUCUCCUCCAGAACUACCUCGGCGCGAAAGGCGGGAAGAUGCUGAUGAUCGUGACGGUUUCCAAUGCAAAGGCGCACGCGCUGGAGAGCUUGAACUCGCUGCGGUUUGCGGCACGGGUACAGGAAACAUACGUUGGCACGUCUGUGAAGCGCGUGACGAGUAUUUAGGCAGCACCUCUCCCCCUCAACUCUGCUGCGCCAUCCCGCUCGAGGGACGGAGAAGCGUGCGCGCGCGUGCGUUCUCCUCUCUUCUUCAGCCCCUCCCUCUACCGCACUUGUCGUUCCCUUUUUUGUUAGAUCCCUCCUAUAUAUUAACUUAUCUUCUUCCUCCUCGCCAGUGCGUCGCUGCGGGAGCGACGCCGCGCAUCUGCUGCUCGCAGCAGAUAACUCUGCAUCUCACGCGCUCCUCCCUGUGCUAAUGUCUCGCGAAUCCCUCCUGGAGGUGAGCGGCAGACUGGGACAGUGAAGGAGGUACGCGUAAGACGCACGCCGGUGCUGCGGCGUGCACGGUUUCGUGCGUGCACCUCUGCAUCCCGUCUUGUCCGUCUCCUCCCUCUGUGAUGAUGAUGCUCGGUUUCUUCCAUCCACUCGCACUCGCUCACAACACGGCGGUUUGCUGUUGAGGGUGUGGCUGGCCACCCCGACAUCUUUCACCGCCCUUGUCUGCCAUUAUGGGGAUCGCUGCACCGGCGACCGAUUCAAUCGUUCACACAUAG
rnacentral:misc_RNA from 1 species